rnacentral:rRNA from 1 species
AUUGAACGCUGGCGGCAUGCCUAAUACAUGCAAGUCGAGCGAAUCAUUGCCUUCGGGGAAUGGUUAGCGGCGGACGGGUGAGUAACACGUAGGCAACCUGCCUGCAAGACCGGGAUAACUAUCGGAAACGAUAGCUAAGACCGGAUAGCUGGUUUUCCCGCAUGGGAGAAUCAUGAAACACGGGGCAACCUGUGGCUUGCAGAUGGGCCUGCGGCGCAUCAGCUAGUUGGUGAGGUAACGGCUCACCAAGGCGACGAUGCGUAGCCGACCUGGGAGGGUGAACGGCCACACUGGGACUGAGACACGGCCCAGACUCCUACGGGAGGCAGCAGUAGGGAAUCUUCCGCAAUGGACGCAAGUCUGACGGAGCAACGCCGCGUGAGUGAUGAAGGUUUUCGGAUCGUAAAGCUCUGUUGCCCUAGACGAACAGCAAGGAGAGUAACUGCUCCUUGUGUGACGGUAUAGGAGAGGAAAGCCCCGGCUAACUACGUGCCAGCCGCCGCAGUAAGAC